rnacentral:ncRNA from 1 species
CAUGUUGCCUACCCUAUUCAACGAGUAUAUAGCCUUGGCCGACAGGCCCGGGAAAUCUUUGAAAUUUCAUCGUGAUGGGGAUAGAUCAUUGCAAUUGUUGGUCUUAAACGAGGAAUUCCUAGUAAGCGCGAGUCAUCAGCGUU